GAUAAGAUCAAAGUGAAGGACGAGUACAACAAUUAUAGGGAUAGGUCUGCCUAUAUGUUCCUGUUGUUUCCAUCCACUCUCCUCUUACUGAGAUGGUGGGUGUGGGAUGGGUGCCUUCCAGCAUUGACAGUUCAGGUGUACCAGGCUUGGUUAUUAUUCCUCUACACAAGUUUUGCUUUGGAGGAG